rnacentral:misc_RNA from 1 species
UUUAAAAUAAUUUGUCAAAGUGAGCUAAGUUACUGGCAACUCUGCCCUGAGAUAUCAAUCUCAAUCUCCGCAUCGACGCCAUUGUUUGGUCUGUGAUUGAAUAUGCCGAUCGCAUAUUCCCUGUUCUUGUUGGCACAGUGUUUACUCACCAUCCUGUAACUCAUUUAGCAGAAAUUACACAAAAAGAAAAGCAAUGAGUCCAGUACGGUGGUAGUGCCUACAUCUUCAGCCCAUACAAAAUUGCAUCACAAACUACAAAAAAUUUCCUGAGUUUGUCAAUUGUUGGAAGGAGGACAUUGUUAUUCAUUUUGAGAACAAUGCUCCAUUUCUUAGCGUUGCCAAUCUCCUUAGACACAUUGGGUAAAAUUGCUGUUGAAGAGAAUUUGGAUGUUUGUCAUGGUGGAUCCAAGCUCAAAAGCUCUUUUUCGGGAUUUGAAUACCAAAGAGAACAUUGUGGUUUCCAGCAUUUAGUCAUACAAAUCACUCGAUUACAAGACACAUUGCAUUUUACUUACCUCGAUGUCAAGGGCCGCUCGGUCGUGGAAAAUGCUGCCAAGAACCUUGUGGAGAUCCACAUCCAACCUUUCAAGUACACGUUUCCUAGAAUCGUCAUGCUUCAAGAGCCAUUGUUAUUUUUUCCUCCUGUUCCUCACUUUCAUCAUCUAAUUCUCCAUCACCAAGGUUUGAAAUGAAAAAAACAUGGAAAACGCAACAUCCAUCCUAUUUCAUUCUUCACCCUUUACCUUGCUCGCUACUUUUUCUUGUAAACAGAUUUAUCCAUGUGAUUGAUAUGCACGACAUGUUGUGUAGAUGGAUACCUUUGGUUUGGUAUCAACGCGUUUGAAGCGAGUGUACACAAACUUCUUUUAUUUUGUAUUUCGAUAUUUAAUUUUUUUUUUUAUUUUCUUCUGUCGUUUUACGUCUCGCGUAUGUAUAUACUACUAUAUUCCCAGAUUUAUUCACGAAUCCAUACAUUCUGAAUGAUUUUAGAAGUAUUUUUCUGCGAGUUAAUAAAAAAAAUUCAUAAUGAA